AAAACAAUAGAAAAUAGCAAAAAAUAUUUCUGUUCCAAACCAAACUAAAUUAGCUCUGUUCUUGAUGUAAAGUUUUUUGUUCAAAUUGGGAGGCUUCUAAGAAUAUCAUUAUCUUUUCUUUUUCUUUUGCUCUGAUCUUGAUGUGUACCGUUGUUUGCUCAAAUUGUAAAGGAGGUUUCUAAGUUCUUUCAUUUUUUUUUUCUUUUGACAGGCUUGUCGGUUGAUGACAAUUCGCAAGGAGUAUAACGGCUAUAUGGAGCUCUUUCUGCUCAUAUGUCCAAUUAAUGCAAUUUUUGCAUGGUAGCCUGUUAAAAAUGACAGUUUAGAUUGUUCAAUUGGAGUAUCCAAGUUAUGGAUUGGAUCAUCCUAUCAAUACAAUAAAACCAAAUCAUCCAACAGGUGCAAUAGGGCCAAUCAAGGAUUGAUAAAGGCUUCUGUUUUUUUUUUCUUUUUUCUUUUUUAUGUGGUGGCCUGUUAAAUGUGUUUUGGAUUUAAUGGACAAUUCAGAUUGUUCAAUUAGAUUCUGCAAGUUAUGAAUUGAA